UACGUAGGGGGCGAGCGUUGUCCGGAAUCAUUGGGCGUAAAGCGCGUGUAGGCGGCCCGGUAAGUCCGCUGUGAAAGUCCAGGGCUCAACCCUGGGAUGCCGGUGGAUACUGUCGGGCUCGAGUCCGGAAGAGGCGAGUGGAAUUCCUGGUGUAGCGGUGAAAUGCGCAGAUACCAGGAGGAACACCAAUGGCGAAGGCAGCUCGCUGGGACGUGACUGACGCUGAGACGCGAAAGCGUGGGGAGCAAACAGG
rnacentral:rRNA from 1 species